CACAACACGGUACUGGUUUCAGCACAUCGUUUAUGAUUUUGUAUUUCAGUGUUCAGUUUGUUUUUAAUGAAUCGUCAUGAACACUUACCACGCUGCAUCUUGGUCCGAUCCUUACUCCUCUUCAGACGAAGAGGAAAUCUGACGUUACAGGGAUACCUUCUACGUCAACACCAUGACCAGCUGGCACAACUGGGGAUGGCUAUGGAAGAGGUUUUUCCCAGUUUGCAACAUCUCGAUCAAACCCGGGAGGCGUUGCCUUCAACUACCUGAUGAUACAACCAGCCGACCCAGUGAGCCAGCACAACAGCCCAUUCAGCAACCCGCUCAGGGGGACGGCUGCAGAGUAUACACUCACCUUCCGGACAGUAGAAGCAUCCAUUGGAUGGAAUGAGCCGGUGCUUCGUACACUAUUCAGAAGAGUCUGCGCGAGGAGGUCCAGGCGGAACUGGCCUGUCGAGACAACCUCACCUUGGAAGCACUCAUUGCUUCAGCUGUGUCGCAGCUUCUCUCACCUCUCUCCUUAAGGGAGGUUCCCAUAGGUUGGUUUGGAGCCCAGCUGCCGACGAGACCUGUCUCCUCAAGGGUCAUUUCACCUCUGCCCCAUUGUUCAAACAGAUCCCACGAUAUCCUUUGUGGUGGAGGUGGACGCUUCAUAGGUAGGGGUGGGGGCAGUUCUGUCUCGAUGACAGGGUAAUCCACAGAAGUUGUACCCAUGUGCUUUUUACUCUAAGAAACUGUCCCCUGCAGAGGAAUUGUGGCUGUGAGCUCCUGGCACUGACGUUUGCAUUAGAGGAGUGGAGACACUGACUGGAGGGCACCAAGGAACCAUUCGUCAUUCACACUGACCAUUGGAACCUGGAUUUCACACUGACCUAUUGCCCAGGUUCAAAGAACACCAACGCUGAUGUCCUGUCCUGCCUCUACGAUUCGGGAGAUGGUCCUGUCCAGAAUGCACCUAUAACCCAUCCUCCUGAGUUGCAGCUCCUGUGGUCUAAAACAUAGAUGUGGAAAUCCACCAGGCUCUGGAGAGGGAGCCCGCCCCCGCUAACUGUCCUCCCAAGCGCAUUUACAUUCCUACAGGGAUAAGGGACUGGCUUCUGACCUGGGCACACACAGCUGUUGUCACUGGACAUCCAUGUAUUUCUUGCACUACCCAAUCCAUCUCUGGGAAAUACUGGUGGCCCGCCUUAGAGCAGGAUGUCACUCUUUACAUUAACUCCUGUUCCGUAUGUGCCCAAACCAAAUACCCCUGGAACGCUCCAGCAGUUAAUCUCCUUCACCUUCCCGUGGCUCAGCGUCCCUGGUCCCAUCCCUCCCUUGACUUUGUUACUGAUCUCCCCUUCUCUGACGGGUUCACCACCAUUUUGGUGGUUUUGGAUAGAUUUUCCAAAUCCUGUCAUUUAAUCCCUCUUUCUAGUCUCCCUACUGCUUUCCAGGUCACUGAGGCACUCUUCCAGCAGGUCUUCCGGCAUUAGGGCCUUCCAGAGAACAUUGUCUCAUCUCACAUCAUGGGUAUGGAAAGCCUUUGUAGAGAAUCUCGGGGUCACGGUCAGCCUCACUUCCGGGUACCGGCCUCAGUCCAUCGGGCAGGUGGAGAGGAUGAACCAGGAGCUGGGGAGGUUCCUGAGGAGUCACUGUCAGGACCGGCAGGGAGAGCGGGUACGAUUCCUUCCAUGGGCAGAGUACGCCCAGAACUCGCUACGUCACUCCUUCACUGGGUUGACCCCCUUCCAGUAGGUUUUCAGCCGGCCCUGGCUCCGUGGACCCCGGGCCAGAGCGAAGCCCCUAUGGUUGAUGUGUGGUUCUGGCGUGCAGAAGAAGUGUGGAGCGAUGUUCACAUGAGACUCCAGCAUGCCGUCCACCGUCAAAAGGAGCAGGCGACCCCUGUGUUCCACCCUGAAGAUUGUGUGGCUUUCUACCAUUAAUCUCAUACUCUGCCUGCCCUGCAAGAAACUGAGCCCCCUGUUUGUUGGGCCAUUCAAGGCUCUCUGGAGGGUCAACGAGACGAAGUAUAGGUUACGGUAGUCACUGGGAAGUUGUAUCUCACCUUUUCAUGUCUCCCUUCUCAGGCUGGUGGUUCCUGGUCCCCUAGCCGAUGCUUUCCCCCACAACACAAUUAAACGUUUCACCUGCA